CCUUCGAUAGCUCAGCUGGAAGAGCGUGAGACUGUAACCGGAUACCUAUUAAGCACCCACCCUUGCGCGGAACAUCUCAAGGCCGCUGGUUCGAUCCCGGCUCGAAGGA